CUGAGGAAUGAGGGAGGCAACGAGUACAGUUUCGUGCCCAUCGUCAGGCGAUCAGACACGGUAUGCAUAGAGGUUUCACAUGCGUCGUCUACUAGGCUGCCGGCGGCAUCACCUCACGAUGGCAGCAACGGCUCGACGGCGGCGGCGAUAGCCUCGUCGGUAAGAAGGACGACCAACGGGAGGAAACAUCGACGGCGCGCCGAGAAGGUAAUUGGCACGCAGGGACACGACGCAGGAGAGCAAUCUUCCCAGCAUCGGCAGAGGAAGAAGAGAUUCAUCUGGACCCCUGAGCUGUCAAAGAUUUUCAUCGAAAUAUAUGAAGAGCUUCUACUCACAGGAAUUAGUAAUGAAUAUCUCUACCAUGCUUAUUAUAUUAUAAUUAUAUCCUCACGGAACUUUGAUAAGCAACUAGCAUCAGCGGAUAGAGAGAGAUUGGUUACAGUUGGGAUGCGGUCGCUCGCAGUCGAAGUUGGGGCGCUUCACCAAUCACCAGUCCCUCUCACAGUAGCAGAUCCCGCCUCCGCCCUCCUGCACAUGGGUGAGGCACAUGCGUCAAAACUCGCCAAGAAAACUAAUGCAAGAAACAAAGAAAGAAAGACUGGCGCCUCUCCUUUUCUUUUUCAUCCGUGUCAAACCGUCCUCGCCCACCAUGAUCGCCUGCCGUGCUCCCUAUGCUCACGCGUGCAGCAGUGCGGCGUCCUCCUCGAGCAGCCUCUCGAUGGACGGAGCUCGCGAGAUGAAGCAGGCGCGCUGCUGGGAGGGGAUCUGCGCCCUGACCUGCUGCCGGAGAAGGAGGAGGAGGAGGACUCGUCGGAGCUCUCCCUCGCCGGUGCUUCUUCCACCUCGAUUCACGUCACCGGUGGCUGCCCCGGAUGCUGCGCUGCACGCCCCCUCCGGGCCCGAGAGGCGCCGGCGGCAGCGGAUCCACCGCUCCCGCGCCUGGCAGCGGUGGAGACGGAUGCCGGCACGGCAAGCGGCGAAGGGGGAGGAAGCCGGCGCGGCGAGCGGCGCCCGGCGGCGGCGGAGACGGAGGCCGGCGCCCAGCAGCGGCGGAGACAGAGGCCGGCGGUCUCAUCUGCAGUAGCGCCUCGCGUGUGGUGGCGGCUUAUCUGA
rnacentral:lncRNA from 1 species